UACGUAGGGUGCAAGCGUUGUCCGGAAUCAUUGGGCGUAAAGAGCGCGCAGGCGGCUUGGCAAGUCGGGGUGUGAAAUCCCGGGGCUCAACCCCGGGACUGCAUUCGAUACUGUCAGGCUAGAGGUGAGGUAGGGGAGAUCGGAAUUCCUGGUGUAGCGGUGAAAUGCGCAGAUAUCAGGAGGAACACCGGUGGCGAAGGCGGAUCUCUGGGCCUUACCUGACGCUCAGGCGCGAAAGCUAGGGGAGCGAACAGG
rnacentral:rRNA from 1 species